UCUGGUGUCCUAGGCAUAGAGGAACUAUACCAAUCCAUCCCGAACUUGGUGGAUAAACUCUACUGCGGUGACGAUACUGUAGGGGAGGUCCUACAGAAAAAUAACUCGAUGCCAGGA
rfam:Beta vulgaris subsp. vulgaris contig96868.1, whole genome shotgun sequence.